GACGAACGCUGGCGGCGUGCUUAACACAUGCAAGUCGAACGGAAAGGCCCUGCUUUUGUGGGGUGCUCGAGUGGCGAACGGGUGAGUAACACGUGAGUAACCUGCCCUUGACUUUGGGAUAACUUCAGGAAACUGGGGCUAAUACCGGAUAGGAGCUCCUGCUGCAUGGUGGGGGUUGGAAAGUUUCGGCGGUUGGGGAUGGACUCGCGGCUUAUCAGCUUGUUGGUGGGGUAGUGGCUUACCAAGGCUUUGACGGGUAGCCGGCCUGAGAGGGUGACCGGCAACAUGGGGAUGGGGAUACGGCCCGGAUUCUGACGGGGGGAGGAGUGGGGGAAUAUGGAACAAGGGGCGGAGGCUGGAGGAGGAAACGCGGGGGGGGGGUGGAGGGCCUUCGGGUUGGAAACGGCUUUGGCUUGGAAGGAGGGGUGGGGGAGGGAAAUGGGAAAGGAAGCACGGCUAACUACGUG
rnacentral:rRNA from 1 species